GUGGGGAAUUUUGGACAAUGGGCGCAAGCCUGAUCCAGCAAUGCCGCGUGUGUGAAGAAGGCCUUCGGGUUGUAAAGCACUUUUGUCCGGAAAGAAAUCUCCUGGGUUAAUACCUCGGGGGGAUGACGGUACCGGAAGAAUAAGCACCGGCUAACUACGUGCCAGCAGCCGCGGUAAUACGUAGGGUGCGAGCGUUAAUCGGAAUUACUGGGCGUAAAGCGUGCGCAGGCGGCUAUGCAAGACAGAUGUGAAAUCCCCGGGCUCAACCUGGGAACUGCAUUUGUGACUGCAUGGCUAGAGUGCGUCAGAGGGAGGUGGAAUUCCGCGUGUAGCAGUGAAAUGCGUAGAGAUGCGGAGGAACACCGAUGGCGAAGGCAGCCUCCUGGGAUGACACUGACGCUCAUGCACGAAAGCGUGGGGAGCAAACAGGAUUAGAAACCCGUGUAGUCC
rnacentral:rRNA from 1 species